UUAAGUGUUCCUAAGGGUGAGGGUGGUGAGACACUGGCACAGGUUGCCCAGGGAGGUUGUGGAUGUCCCAGCCCUGGAAGUGUUCAAAGACAGGUUGGGUAAGGCCUUGAGCAGCCUGAUCAAGUGAGAGGUGCCCCAGCCCAUGGCAGAGAGGGUUGGGACUAGAUGAUUUUUAGGGUCCCUUCCAUCUCAUGAUUCUGUGUUUGCAUUUUUUAAAAGAAAGGGAAAUGCUCAAUGAAGUCACAUCCUGGUGUUGCCCAGGUUGGUUACUGGAGGAUUUCAGAGCUGCUGCUGGUCUUGUCUGUCCCAGUCAUUGUGUGCACGGGCAUGGAAAGAGGGGGGAAAUGGCAGUUUUACUGUAGAUCUUUCGGGAAUGUUGAGAGUUGGGGCACAUUUGUCAGGACAGGCUGUUGGAAGACACUGGGAAUUUGGGGUCCUUGACUCUGCUCUGAGGUCUCCCUGCUGUCCUUCCUGUGUGAUGGAAGGCAAACUCAAAACCUGAGCCAAGUCUCUGGUCAAAAGUCAUGAGACGAGUGAAGUCUUCGUCUUUAAAAAUAGCAUCUUGAAAUAAUACAUUGUAUGUUACUUGAUUUGGAGCCUGUAAUUUUUAUCUUUGGUAUGCUCAAGCUUUUCUCCAAAACCCAAAGGGAAAUAACAACACUUUUUUUUUCUCAAUGAAAACUGAGAUUAGCAUCUAAUCAUCUUCCCCUUUAGAAGCUGAGGUUUUAGGAGCACCAACUUAGGUUAAACUAGAAAGUUUGGACAAUAGCUCUUUCUUUUGAGUGGAACUUUGAAGAACUCUAACUGAGGGAGACCACAGGCCCAAGACCAGUGGAGAAGUCUGUGAAGGGACAAAAUCCAUGAAAGAAUUGAAACCAGAGGAGAAGAUGAGACCAUGUGGAGGCCUGGCCAGUUGAAGUAGGUACCUUGGCCCUCUUUAGAGGCCUUAGAAGCAUUCCUGAGUUCUUCAUUGGUCCUCCCAGAUGUCAUCACUGAAUCUGUAAUUCAAAAGUUUGGCUAAAGAUGACAGGAACACUACAGAGAGCAGCACAGACCCUGUGAAGGCACCUGAAAGUGAACUCUGAAGAUCAAGACUAGGUUUCAGGAAGAGGAGGAUGGGUCAGAAAGUCCAGAUUCUGAAUAAUAAGAAGGAACUCUCAUUAAGGGCUUGGGUUAUUUGAUAAUAACCACGUGAGGUUGCUUCAGCAGAGCUGAAAUAUUACAAAAUAUUAGAGAAACUCCUGGAGAGAUGGUUUAGCAGUCAAAGCUGCAUGAUGAAGGGGGAAUUAUAGGGAAGACGCCACAAGGCUUCUCUCUGAGAUGAGCACCAACAGGACGACAGACAAAAGCGAGAAGUUGCACCCAGAGGUAUUUCAGUUGUGUAUAAGAAAACAAAAGUUCAAAGUGAGAGUGGUCAAGUAGUGGAACACUUUCCCAGAAUGGCUGUGGACUUUCCAUCCAUGCAGAUAAAACUAGGCUGGAUAAGUUUUUAAGCAACCUAGUUUAGCUUUGAAGAUAGCCCUGUUUGGAGCAGAAGGAAUAUAUGGUUUUCCAUGUCCAUGUUUAAAAAAGCAAGUGAAGCUCUUUAUUUGCUUUGGGCAAGAGAUUGAAGGUUAGUGUCACAAGAAUGUCACUGCACUACUAUUUCAGUGCCCUUUAGUUUAAAGGGAAAUCACUAGGGUUUUUUUGCUACUGUACCUUUCCUUAAAAUACAACUUUAUGUACCAGCCUCUCCAUCUUUGUUGGUGCAUAGUAUUAACAUCAGAAAUAAAGAGCCACAAAAUUAGAGAAAAGAUUCCUUCGUGUGGCUCUGUACAUUUAUACAGUAAAAGGUCUUCACCACUUCAUCUAAUUUGUAACAGUUUGUUGGUACAUCAGCUCUGGCACUUGCUCUCCGGCUUAAGACCUCAUAAAGUUUCAAAUAGCUACUGUAAUAAAGAACCUAAGACAUCACCAAUAAUCCAGCCCAAAAAUACUUUUUCUGCAUGCUGGAAAAAGAGUUUUGUUCCAGAACUAGGCUGGCUUGAGAUGCAGGAGUGGGAAACAGAGUCAUGACAGCAUUGCACUGUAUUGAAGGCUGAUCACUCAAGCUUUCAGGACAGUCAUGCAAGACACAAGUUUCUUCUGAGGCUAACAGCAGGCAGUAAAAGAACAUCCAGAUAUGUACUAGAUUAAAUGUGUUCCAAUACUCGAAUCACAGGAAAAAGAGUAUCCUGAGAGAAGAAAGAAGUGUGACUUGUAUGUUGGUAUUCACCUUAGUUUAUGUGUUUGGAAGAGCAUACUUGAAAGACAAAGCCUUUCCAGAAGUGUCAGUGACUCAUAGAUUCAAUGUCAGUCCUAAAAGCCUUCCAGCAUGAGGAGAAUAUGAAAUGAUGAAGCAUCCUCUGCGACACAUCUGCUUGAAGUACAGCACAGCGCUCUUUUAGCACCCAUGGUUUCAGGAAUACAGGCACUGAACGCCCUUUUUCACAGCAAGACAGGAUUGUCUCUUCUCUGUGGAAUUUUUUGUUUGAUUUUUUUCGUCUUCAAGUGCAGAUAGCCAAGGGAGGAAGUAAUCAACUGAUUGGUUACUUGUGACUACUGAACAAAGGCCCCUUUAAAGAAAUGUCUUUGAGUGUAAGCAAAGUUAUCAGUUGUUAACCUACUGUUGAUUUGCAUUAGAAAAUCACUUAGACAUUCUUCCUCCAAAAGUCCUGUCUACUGCUUUGCAGAGGCUCAGAUGGGGCACUGUAGCUUUGCUUCAUCAUCACUUACAUUGUGUAGUAUUCCGGGAGGAGUACAAGGAAGGGAUGAGAGAUCAACAGAGAAAUUAAAAUAAAUUAGGGAUAUAAUAUAUGAACCAUUGAUUAUAGCAGAAUUUCAACCCAGCAGUGCUAGAAAUGUGCUCUGUUAGUUUGGACAAGCCAUUGCACCAACUGACACCUCACACCCUUAUUUGAUUUAGGACAGAAGUUUCAUGAUUAGCUUAAGCCAAUCUGAGACUGUACUGCUGCCAAAGGGACAUUCCUCCUCCUUCUUACAUCAGACCAGGCACCCACAUGACCAUACAAUAAACGGAUCCAGCUGAAGACCAGCCCGGGGAAAAAGAAAAAAAAAAGAAGCAGACAUUAGUUUUUAAUUGAGUCUGGAAGAUAAGCAAGCUCACUGUUCCACCUGAAGGUCGCUGGGGCUAACAAAGUGGAUGGACUGGGAACAAGCAGCUAGAGGGCCAGAGGGGUUAGAGAGGGGCAGAGAGGUUAGAGAAUCUCCCUCAGUGGCAGUGAGAUUCAGCUGCCAAGGACCAGUAAGAUGAAAAAAUGUGUUCAAACCUUGCUGAGAUAGUCACCGCAUAAUUGUUUUCCUGCCCUGCAUGCCUGACCUUGGAUUUCUAUUCCUCUAAAUUUAAAAUCCUUCUUUGAAAAAUCAGACCACAGAGAGAGACAAUGAAGCAGAAUAGAUAGUCAUGCAACCAAGAAGACAACCUGGGUCUGAGACAUGACUGCUCAUUCUGUGGCUUUUGGUUACAGGUCUGUGCCACGGAGUAAGAACAGCAGUCCCUUCUGGAAAUGGCUGGGGAAUACCUCCUUGUAUGGAGGAAGCAGGAACAUUUGUGAGAUUUUGAAGACAGAAGAGUGAAAGAUGAGGUUCUAAAUCUGAAACUGUGGCUGUUAAAAUGAGCUGCUGAACACCAGAGAGCAAAGAUUACUGGAUUGCCUAACAGGCUGCUGCAGAACUUCUGAGCUUUUUAUUUUCAGUAAUAAAAAAAGAAAUCCUUGUGCGUCUCAACAUGUGGAUGUAAUUCUGUUUAUUUGUGGAAAAGAAGUGUUAAAAUAACAAUUUUUGAAAGCAACAGUUUUUCCUAAAGGAAAAAAAAUACUUUUUAUACAUAAAAUCUACUUCCUAUACUCUGUAUUUUUCUACUUUCUUAUUCCAGAUCCCUUCAGAGGAUAAUGCUGCAUCCUCAGCUCCCACACCCUCCAUCCUGGUCUCUGUGAUAUACAUUAUUUCAAAGGAGCACAGCUGGGUGCUGGACUGUAAUUUCUCAUGCAGCCAGGAUCAGAUCCAUUAGUUUAUGUGAAGGUUAGGACCAAGACCAUGGAAGUAUAUAGGGAGCUAAUAGAUAGACUGGUGUUCCUGCUGUGUUCACAGGGGCUUAAACCAGGGAGAAAAUGGUCAGGCACAUCCAUAUUAUUUUCACCUUUUGCUUCAUGAUUUGCUGUAGUCUCAUUCAUAAAUGACAAAGGAACCUCACCCUGCUGUGAGGUUCUCAUACCACAGAGAGCUGUAAUGAGUUUGUAACAAGAUGGAGAUAAGGAAGACUUUUUAGUGAUUACUCAGACAAAUCUCUGAGUACAAAUCAGAGAUGUACUGAGUGAAGGGUAUAUCUUUCCAUCACUCUCCAUCACUUAAACGUCUGAGGAUACUUAAGGUAUUCUCAUGGUGUUAUGUAAGAAGAACUCAGUAAGACAAGAGUGUCCUAAAUGCAUCUUUAUAGAUUUUUCCCUUUCGCUGUAUGUCAGAAACUUUUGUAAUUUGACAGCCACUGGCAAUGAUUAAUGGCUGGCAAUAUGGCCAGGGGCAACGCAUGUUUCAAAAUCAGUACCAGGAAAGAUUCUGUGAUCUUGGAAGUCUUUGGCUGUCGAACUGUCUUGCAAAAUGAAAAAUAAGUGUUUUGCCUGUGUGUUCGAUGAAGAGCUCCAAAUACAUAGCUGGAAUGUAGGUGAGAGACAGUGAAAAACAGCAGAAUAUUUACCUUGGAGUGUGACGCUAAACAGACAUUUAAUGGUUGUUUCCACUUCUGUCUUUCAUGAUAGCUAGAGUAUAUUUAUAUUUUUCAUAGAUGUGCAUAUAUGUGCAGGUGUAUACAUAUAAGUGCACCAGAAUCAAAUGUUUUAUUUUCAUUUUCUUAGAAGCAUCAGUUUUUCUGUACUGAAUCUUAACAUAUGCAAUAUAUAUCCAGAUACCGAGGUAAC